AUGGCGGCGUCACCUGCUGCCGAGGGAAUAACCACGUCUGCGCUUCUUGUUCCAAGUGCUGACAGCAAUGAUGAGUCUCCCGAAGUCGAAGUCGAAGUAGCUGGAGAAGAGAAGGACUCGCCCGCAAAAGUAGCGGAGGCCGUUGGGGACAGCGAGGAAGACGGGGAGGAUGUGUUCGAAGUGGAGAAGAUCCUGGACAUGAAGACCGAGGGGGGCAAAAUUCUUUACAAAGUUCGAUGGAAAGGAUAUACAUCAGAUGACGAUACCUGGGAGCCUGAGGUUCACCUUGAAGACUGCAAAGAAGUUCUGCUUGAAUUUAGGAAGAAAAUUGCUGACAACAAAGCCAAAUCAAUAAAGAAGGAUAUUCAGAGAUUAUCCUUAAAUAAUGACAUAUUUGAAGCAAACUCUGAUAGUGAUCAGCAAAGUGAGACAAAGGAAGAUACAUCUUCAAAGAAGAAAAAGAAAAAAUUAAGACAAAGAGAGGAGAAAAGUCCAGAUGAUUUGAAAAAGAAAAAACCAAAGACUGGGAAAGUAAAAGAUAAGUCCACUUCAGAUCUGGAGAGCUCCACAGACAAUUUAGGUUUUGAUCUAAGGACAAAGAAAAGAAUACUGGAUGUCAAAGAAGACUUAAAGGAAUUUAAAAAGUCCAAGAAAGAUGAUCCAAAAGAACUAAAGAAAGUGAAAAAGAAUGAAUUAAAAGAUUUUAAGACGAAAGUAAGAGAAUAUGUUAAAGAAAACAGAAAAGCAAAAAAAGACAAAUACACUGAAUCUCAGGAGUCUGAAUCAAGUAUUCUAAAUGAUUCCCUUUCUCAAGAUGAUGACAAUGAAGAUUUACAUUCUGACAAAGAAGAGAAGCAAAAGUUUAAAGGUACAAAAGAGAAACUAGGUCGAGAUACAGUUUCAGAUGUUUUUGAUAAACAAUUAGAUGACAAAGUAAGUGCUGAUGAGGAUAGUGAUGUGAGGACAGAGAGGAAAAAGAAGAAAGUAAGGAAAGCUGAAGAACAUAAAGAGAACAAAAAGGUAGAUAACAGUGACCUUUUCUCAGAGAAGAAAAAUACAUUUAAAAAGCAAAGGAAUCAAGACAAAGGCAAAAGUACCACCGAGACAUCUCCAUCUGUCCCGGCACAAAAAGCUGGAGAAGAGAGAGGCCUCAGUUUCACUGAUUCAACUGGAAAGGAAAAAGAGAUCAAGAAAAGUGAACCCAAAGAAAAAUAUCAGAAAAGACAUGAUUCUGACAAAGAUGAAAAAGGCAGAAAAGAGCCAAAGGGAUUAAAGACAUUUAAGGAAAUCAGAAGUGCAUUUGAUAUAUUUAAAUUAACUGCAGAAGAAAAAAAUGAACUCAAUGAGAAUAUUCGAAAGAAAGAAGAAAUACCAUUGGAUUAUAAAAUUACAGAAGAUCACAAAGCCAAGGAUAACAGGUUUCUUAAAGACAGGAGAAAUACGAGAGAUGAAACAGAUACUUGGGCAUAUAUAGCUGCUGAAGGUGAUCAAGAAGUUCUAGACAGUGUUUGUCAAGCAGAUGAAAAUUCUGAUGGCAAGCAACAACUUUUGAGUUUGGGAAUGGACUUGCAGUUGGAAUGGAUGAAACUGGAAGAUUUUCAAAAGCAUCUUGAUGGAGAAGAUGAGAAUUUUACCACAGCAGAUGCAAUUCCAAGUAAUUUAUUGAGGGAUGCUGUGAAAAAUGGGGACUAUAUUACUGUGAAGAUUGCACUUAAUUCAAGUGAAGAAUAUAACCUUGAACAAGAGGAUUCAAGUGGGAUGACUCUGGUGAUGCUUGCUGCAGCUGGAGGACAGGAUGACCUCCUCAGACUUCUCAUCAAAAAAGGAGCCAAAGUGAAUGGGAGACAGAAGAAUGGGACCACCGCACUGAUUCACGCAGCUGAGAAGAACUUUUUAACAACUGUGGCUAUUCUUUUGGAAGCUGGAGCUUUUGUGAAUGUCCAGCAGAGCAAUGGUGAGACGGCUUUAAUGAAGGCCUGUAAAAGAGGAAAUUCAGACAUUGUGCGGCUUGUUAUUGAAUGUGGAGCAGACUGUAAUAUUUUGUCAAAGCACCAGAAUAGUGCACUCCAUUUCGCGAAGCAGUGUAACAAUGUGUUGGUGUAUGAUCUGCUGAAGAAUCAUUUAGAAACACUUUCAAGAGUAGCAGAAGAUACCAUAAGGGAUUACUUUGAAGCCCGUCUUGCUUUGCUAGAACCAGUUUUUUUUUUCCAAUAGCAUGCCGUUGUCUUUGUGAGGGACCAGAUUUUUCAACAGAUUUCAAUUAUAAGCCCCCACAGAACGUACCAGAAGGUUCUGGUAUCCUGCUGUUUAUUUUCCAUGCAAACUUUUUGGGGAAAGAAGUCAUUGCUCGACUCUGUGGACCAUGUAGUGUACAAGCAGUAGUUUUAAAUGAUAAAUUUCAACUUCCUGUAUUUCUGGAUAGCCAUUUUGUUUAUUCAUUCAGUCCUGUUGCUGGCCUCAAUAAACUCUUCAUAAGAUUGACAGAAGCACCCUCUGCUAAGGUUAAGUUGCUGAUAGGUGCCUACAGAGUGCAGCUGCAGUGA